rnacentral:rRNA from 1 species
GCAUAUCAAUAAGCGGAGGAAAAGAAACUAACAAGGGAUUCCCCUAGUAACGGCGAGUGAAGUGGGAAAAGCUCAACUUUGUAAUCUGGCAGCUUCGCUGUCCGAGUUGUAGUCUCGAGAAGUGUUUCCGCGCUGGAUCGUGUAUGAGUCUGUUGGAAUACAGCGUCAUAGAGGGUGAGAACCCCGUUCGUGACACGACUACCAGUGCUUUGUGAUACAUUUUCGAUGAGUCGAGUUGUUUGGGAAUGCAGCUCAAAUUGGGUGGUAAAUUCCAUCUAAAGCUAAAUAUUGGCGAGAGACCGAUAGCAAACAAGUACCGUGAGGGAAAGAUGAAAAGCACUUUGGAAAGAGAGUUAACAGUACGUGAAAUUGUUGAAAGGGAAACGUUUGAAGUCAGACGUGCGUUGUGCGAUUCAGCUCCGGUUCGCCGGAGUGUAUUUCGUACUAUUGCAGGCCAGCAUCGGUUUGGCGAGCCGGAUAAAGGUUAGAGAAAGGUAGCGGUCCAGGCCGUGUUAUAGUCUUUAACUGAAUACGGAUUGCUAGACCGAGGGACGCAGCGCGCCGCAAGGCAAAGCUUUCGGGCUUUUCGCGCUUAGG